rnacentral:lncRNA from 1 species
AAAUUUUAUGAACUCACAAGAUAAAAUAAUUAUUAUUGGCAGCAGAAUAAUUAGUUCUGACUCUAUGGAUAAAUGACUAUUUUCUAUGAAUAAAAAAUUAAACAUGAUGAAAAAAAUGGUAUAAUGCGAAAAAAGAUUGAGUAUCACGAACAAAAUAUUUGAUUGUCUAUGAAAAGAAUAAAUAAAGGAUAAAAGUAAGAAAACUUAAGGGGGAAGAGAAAGAAAAUGAGAAAUAAAAAAAUAAUUAUGUAGUAAAGCAUAGGAGGGACAUAGGAGGAAAAUUAAAAAAACAUAAAAAAGAGUUAGUAUUAUCGACAUCACAGGAGAAAGUAUUUAAAUUUUUUCCUAAAUCAUGCUAAUCACAACUCAUGGAGUGGUGUAGUGGUGGUUCAACUCACCCAUCACCCAAGGGAUAGGUCUUGAGUUUGAACCCUUCUUGUUGCAAAUUUUUUCCAGCAUUCUCAUGAAACAAAAGAUCUAUAUACCUCGAACAAAUUACAGCAACCAACACACAGGAUGUAGGGUAUUACGGUAUUCAGCGGCCCGAACCUGUCUAAAUCAUGUGUCUGUAUUCACCUUCGAGUUCUUGAUCUCAACGAACCCCACUAACCAAAACACUAUCUCGGGCAUCACCUCGAUAGGUUGCCGGGUUUAAACCCCGACACCAUGGAAUAAAAAAAAUUGUAUGUAUCGAACAAAUUAUAUGAAUUCAGAUAACAAAAAAUAUACUCCUAGAACAAGUUAUGCAAACUCAUAGAACAAAUAUAUGUAUACAAAAUAAAUAAUACGAGUCAUGGAACAAAACAAUUGUAUGCAUUGAACAAAUGAUAUAAAUUUGAACAAAACUAGAACAAGUGGCAUGAAGUUAUGGAACAAAAUAUUAUACAUGGAAUAAAUUAUAUGAACUUACAACUGUAAAAUUUAUACAGAGCGAGAAAUUAUACGGCCUCACACAACAAAAUUUAACUCAUGUAAUAAAAAAUUUUGUACUUGAAAAACAUACAUUAUGCGCAUGUGCAACAUCAAAACCUUUUCGGUCCCAAAUAAGUUGGUGUAAACUAGAGUAGAAACUCAAAAGGAACCACUUAUCAAGGUUAAAAAUAGUAUAAAGGGUAUAUUAUUAUAAUAUAUGAGGAAGUAAAAUAUUAGUUUUAAUUGAGGAAGAAAGGCCAGAUCGGAAACUACACAAAAGAUGAAAUAAGCGGAUAAAUU